AAUGAACGUUGGCGGUGUGGAUUAGGCAUGCAAGUCGAGCGCGAAAUGUAGCAAUACAUGGAGAGCGGCGAAAGGGAGAGUAAUACAUAGGUACCUACCCCCAGGUCUGGGAUAGCGGCGGGAAACUGCCGGUAAUACCAGAUAAUGUCUCUGGACCAAAGGUGUGAUUCCACCUGGGGAGGGGCCUGUGGCCUAUCAGCUAGUUGGCGAGGUAACGGCUCACCAAGGCUUAAACGGGUAUGGGGCGUGAGAGCGUGCCCCCACUCACUGGGACUGAGAACUGCCCAGACACCUACGGGUGGCUGCAGUCGAGAAUCGUCGGCAAUGGGCGAAAGCCUGACCGGGCGACACCGCGUGCGGGAUGAAGGCCUUCGGGUUGUAAACCGCUGUCGUAGGGGAGGAAGGGCCUGCGAAAAGCAGGACUUGACCGAUCCUAGGAGGAAGGGCCGGCUAAUCUCGUGCCAGCCGCCGCAGUAAGAC
rnacentral:rRNA from 1 species